rnacentral:rRNA from 1 species
AUUGAACGCUGGCGGCAGGCCUAACACAUGCAAGUCGAGCGGCAUCGGGUGAAAUCUUGCUUUCCCGCCGGCGAGCGGCGGACGGGUGAGUAAAGUCUGGGAAACUGCCUGAUGGAGGUGGAUAACUACCGGAAGCGGUAGCUAAUACCGCACAAUGUCCUCGUAUUAAAGUGUGGGACCUUAGGGCCUCAUGCCAUCAGAUGUGCCCAGAUGGGAUUAGCUAGUAGGUGGGGUAACGGCUCACCUAGGCGACGAUCCCUAGCUGGUCUGAGAGGAUGACCAGCCACACUGGAACUGAGACACGGUCCAGACUCCUACGGGAGGCAGCAGUGGGGAAUAUUGCACAAUGGGCGCAAGCCUGAUGCAGCCAUGCCGCGUGUAUGAAGAAGGCCUUCGGGUUGUAAAGUACUUUCAGCGGGGAGGAAGGUGUUGAGGUUAAUAACCGCAGCAAUUGACGUUACCCGCAGAAGAAGCACCGGCUAACUCCGUGCCAGCCGCCGCAGUAAUAC